UUGACUAAAGGUUCUUUCGCAAUUUAGUAUGUUAUGUUUAUCUUAUUUUCAGCUGUCUCCUCCUCAGACAGAAACACUUGCCUCCUCAAGGCUGCUUGACACCGUGCUUUAUGAUGUCUCCUGUCUCAACAUGUUCAGAUCUCUGCACUGGAUAUGCCGCAGACAGAUGUUAUGUUUCGCUGCGCUAUAGCUCUUUUUCCUGACCCGAAGGACGGGUUGCCCGCCUGUUUCAACCUUCUACAAUAUUUGCAGAACAUUACAUUGUUUUCUAACUCUAGCCAUGGUGACAUUUUGAGCCAAUUCGCGGUGACAUUUUGAGCCAAUUCGCGUUGAAUCUAUAUGUUCUCCCUCCGCCGGCUACAGUGGACGUUGAAGUGACAGCCGGAGUCACCGUAGCUUCGCUAACCGCCUCAUGUAAACCUUGUGAAGAGGCUUCAUUAGUUGAACCUUGCGAAUCCGCCUCGCCUGAUUACUAUUUCUCCUCGUCUCUUAUUCGCUUAAAAUAAACUGUAAUGGGCUUCAUUUUUAGCGAAGUCUGCACGUUAAUUUACAGCCUAUACCAAUACUUUUCCCCCAGUGUUGUUCACCUUUCUCUCACUCUGACUGGACUGCGUCAGCACUGAAAACACUACUGUGGUUGGCGCUUGUGGGGUAAAAAAAAAAUAGAUUACGGUAGAUUGUAGUCUUUACUCGCACACUGUGCUCGUAAAUCAUUUUUCCGGUUCGCACAAAUCAAUUUAAGGGCAAUUCGCUUGUAGAGCCCUGGAUACCUUUUACAGAAUGGUCUUGAGUUGUUAUGAUACGCUAUUUAAACCCACAAGGUUACAAUGAACAUUGGGGCGAGGAGAGUAAUAGUUUACUCCAGCAGACGAUGCAGGUGGAGAGAAUAGAUUACGACAUUGGAGGGGUGCUACUUCACAGCCUGAGUGGGGGACACAGGAUCUGGUGGGGCUCAGUUCCAAGCUGUGUGAGGAGAUCCGUGACAUUUUGACUGUAUCAGUGGCGCCGCACCAAAGUGCAGAGAAUCCCGUUCAACACUACAGCACACUGCUGAGUUUAGCCUCACUGCAAAGCAGCAGAAUCCCUCUCUGUGAUGAAUACACACAUCAUCUCACGCAUGGCUGGACUACUGCUGCCUGUCCACAGCCUUACCACAGUCAGUGAGAAGAUUCGCUGGGAAUCCUUGGCCAGCUGUACCCUCCAACCUGUUCCACAGCUUUCCCCCACAGGGAAAUCUGUAUCCUUCAAACUAUUGUCCAGAUUCAACUCCAAUUGCCGUUUUUAAGAUCAAUGGUGAUAUUUUUUUUUAUGGCAAAUUUUCCCUGAAAUCAAGAGGCCUGUGUUUGGAUAUCUCUCACACCCAAGUCAGACUGUUCUCUCUGCUACCACACAGCAAGUGGCACCAAUGCACCAAGUCUGCAACCAACAGCACCCUGAAAAGCUUCAACCCGCAAGCCAUAAGACUGAUAAAUAGCUAAUCAAAUGGCUCCCUGCAUUGACCCUAUUUUGCAAACUCUCUUGCACUGACUCUAUACACACAUACUGGACUCUACCCACACACUGACACAUACUGGACUCUACCCACACACUGACACAUACUGGACUCUACCCACACACACACA